rnacentral:hammerhead_ribozyme from 1 species
UUCCAGCUGAUGAGUUCCAAAUAGGACAAAACGCGUGUCCUGCAU